GGAAGCGAACGGGUUAGGACCUCAGGGUUUUCCAGAGCUGAAGAAUGACACAUUCCUGCGAGCAGCCUGGGGAGAGGAAACAGACUACACUCCCGUUUGGUGCAUGCGCCAGGCAGGCCGUUACUUACCAGAGUUUAGGGAAACCCGGGCUGCCCAGGACUUUUUCAGCACGUGUCGCUCUCCUGAGGCCUGCUGUGAACUGACUCUGCAGGUGAGGGGUCCACAAAAGAGGGAAAGAUUUAUGCCUUCAGUCUUCCACCUAGCAACCUGUCUCCUGUUUCCUACAGCCACUGCGUCGCUUCCCUCUGGAUGCUGCCAUCAUUUUCUCCGACAUCCUUGUUGUACCCCAGGCACUGGGCAUGGAGGUGACCAUGGUACCUGGCAAAGGACCCAGCUUCCCAGAGCCAUUAAGAGAAGAGCAGGACCUAGAAUGCCUACGGGAUCCAGAAGUGGUAGCCUCUGAGCUAGACUAUGUGUUCCAAGCCAUCACCCUUACCCGACAACGACUGGCUGGACGUGUGCCGCUGAUUGGCUUUGCUGGUGCCCCAUGGACCCUGAUGACAUACAUGGUUGAGGGUGGUGGCUCAAGCACCAUGGCUCAGGCCAAGCGCUGGCUCUAUCAGAGACCUCAGGCUAGUCACCAGCUGCUUCGCAUCCUCACUGAUGCUCUGGUCCCAUAUCUGGUAGGACAAGUGGCGGCUGGUGCCCAGGUGAGUCCUGAGAGAGAAAUAGGCUGAGAUUUGGUCUGUGAGGACCAGAAGCAAGAGUGUCCUAAACCUGAGAGGGCAGGGGUCUUAAUGCCAGGGAUGAAAGAACCUUGGCCUCCAGUAAUCUAGCUGAGCAGCCAAGCCCAUCC
rnacentral:sRNA from 1 species